GUGAUCCUACGGGGCGCAGCAGUGAGGAAUAUUGGUCAAUGGACGGAAGUCUGAACCAGCCAUGCCGCGUGCAGGAAGACGGCUCUAUGAGUUGUAAACUGCUUUUGUACAAGGGUAAACCUGAAUACGUGUAUUCAGCUGAAAGUACUGUACGAAUAAGGAUCGGCUAACUCCGUGCCAGCAGCCGCGGUAAUACGGAGGAUCCAAGCGUUAUCCGGAUUUAUUGGGUGUAAAGGGUGCGUAGACGGGACAGCAAGUUAGUUGUGAAAGCCCUCGGCUUAACUGAGGAACUGCAACUAAAACUA
rnacentral:rRNA from 1 species